rnacentral:rRNA from 1 species
CACGUAGGGGACGAGCGUUGUCCGGAUUCAUUGGGCGUAAAGCGCGCGUAGGCGGCUCGGAAAGUCGGUCGUGAAAUGCCGGGGCUCAACCCCGGGACUGCGUCCGAUACUUCCGGGCUGGAGGUAGGUAGGGGAGAUCGGAAUUCCUGGUGUAGCGGUGAAAUGCGCAGAUAUCAGGAGGAACACCGGUGGCGAAGGCGGCAUCCUGGACCGGCAUUGACGCUGAGGCGCGAAAGCCAGGGGAGCAAACGGG